rnacentral:tRNA from 1 species
GCGCCCGUAGCUCAACCGGUCAGAGCAGGCGGCUCAUAACCGCAAGGUUUGGAGGUUCAAGUCCUCCCGGGCGCACCA